GCCGGUCGGAGGGCUCCUAGUGCGCCAGGUUGUGGGAAGUGAGGCUGGCGGUGGCGACAGCCGAGGAGGAGGGGCGGGACGCCGUGGAGCACGGCGACCGGCUGAGCGUCAUGGAGGGCUCAGGGGAGCAGCCGGGCCCACAACCACAGCAUCCCGGAGACCACCGCAUCCGCGACGGCGACUUCGUGGUGCUGAAACGUGAAGAUGUGUUUAAAGCAGUACAAGUCCAGCGGAGAAAAAAAGUAACUUUCGAAAAACAGUGGUUCUACCUGGAUAACGUCAUUGGCCAUAGUUACGGAACUGCAUUUGAAGUGACCAGUGGAGGAAGUCUACAGCCCAAGAAGAAGAGGGAAGAGCCUACUGCAGAGACUAAAGAAGCGGGCACUGAUAAUCGAAAUAUAGUUGAUGAUGGGAAAUCUCAGAAACUUACUCAAGAUGACAUAAAAGCUUUGAAGGACAAGGGCAUUAAAGGAGAGGAAAUAGUUCAGCAGUUAAUUGAAAAUAGUACAACAUUCCGAGACAAGACAGAAUUUGCCCAAGAUAAAUAUAUUAAAAAGAAGAAAAAAAAAUAUGAAGCCAUCAUUACUGUUGUGAAGCCAUCCACCCGUAUUCUUUCAAUUAUGUAUUAUGCAAGAGAACCUGGAAAAAUUAAGUACGCUUUGUUUCCUUUCAAAAGUAUAAUUGGGGGAAGUAUGUCUUUAAGAAAGUCAUGAUUUUAAGUAAAAUGAAAAAGCUUGCUCACCUGCAUAAAGUAUCCUCCUACCUCAUAAAUUCCACAUGAGAUACGAUACACUAGCCCAGAUGUUGACGUUGGGAAAUAUCCGUGCUGGCAACAAAAUGAUUGUGAUGGAAACGUGUGCAGGCUUGGUGCUGGGUGCAGUGAUGGAACGAAUGGGAGGUUUUGGCUCCAUUAUUCAGCUAUACCCUGGAGGAGGACCUGUUCGGGCAGCAACAGCAUGUUUUGGAUUUCCCAAAUCUUUUCUCAGUGGUCUUUAUGAAUUCCCCCUCAACAAAGUGGACAGUCUUCUACAUGGAACAUUUUCUGCCGAGAUGUUAUCUUCAGAGCCAAAAGACAGUGCUUUGGUUGAAGAAAGUAAUGGCACACUGGAGGAAAAACAGGCUUCUGAACAAGAGAAUGAAGACAGCAUGGCAGAGGCCCCAGAGAGCAACCACCCAGAAGACCAGGAAACAAUGGAAACAAUUUCUCAAGAUCCAGAACAUAAGGGGCCUAAAGAGAGAGGAAGCAAAAAAGAUUAUAUUCAGGAAAAACAGAGGAGACAAGAAGAGCAGAGGAAAAGACAUUUAGAGGCUGCCGCUCUGCUGAGUGAAAGAAACGCAGAUGGUUUAAUUGUAGCUAGUCGUUUCCACCCCACUCCCCUGCUGCUGUCUUUGCUGGACUUUGUGGCCCCUUCAAGGCCGUUUGUGGUCUACUGUCAGUACAAAGAGCCUCUGUUGGAAUGCUACACAAAACUGCGGGAGAGGGGAGGGGUCAUCAACCUCAGGCUGUCUGAAACCUGGCUCAGAAAUUAUCAGGUUUUGCCAGAUCGAAGUCAUCCUAAACUGCUGAUGAGUGGUGGUGGGGGUUAUCUUCUCUCCGGCUUCACCGUUGCCAUGGACAACCUUAAAGCAGACACCAGCCUCAAAUCUAAUGCAAGCACUUUAGAAUCACACGAGACUGAGGAGCCUGCAGCUAAAAAACGAAAAUGCCCAGAGUCUGACUCUUAACCCUUUUGAGAAUUGCUCUGAAUUUUGUUCUCAGGCAUUAUACAGUUAGUAAUUAAACUUUAAAUGCCAUUACUACUUGUUUUUUCAUAUCCCAAGAAUAAGAACAUGUCUAUGUACCCGUUUCUAGAAAGGAGGAGUAUAUGCCUUUUGUCUAUUUCUGACACAGAUGCAUUUGGUCUGUCAAAACUGCAACCAUGGGGUAUGUAGUAUGACCAACUGCAUUUAACAAAACUCCUCUAAGUACUUCUAAAUAUUCUGUGCAAAUAUCUUGAGAACUUCAACAUCCUAAAAAUGUGUUUCUACAAGACUUUAUAUUUUAAGCUAAGUGGAAUAAUACAACAUAACUAAAACAUGGCGGGUACCGAAAGGAGGGCAAUUCAUGGAAGAAAUUUCCUCUGUUCAUUCCGUUCUCUUCAACCUGAGCAGUAUGGAUGUGUGAGUGUGUGAUUUAUUAUGGUACCAAAAAUGUCCACCUUCUUUCCUGCAGUGGAAUAAGCUUUUUUGAAAUGCUAAGGUUUUAUUUUAAUAGUUGACAACCUGGGAAAGUUCUGAGUAUUUAUUUUACUGCUCUUUUUUGUGCAUAGAAAGGUUUAGUAGGGUACUUUUUUGCAUUAAUUUGCCAAUACUCUUAUUCUUUGUUCUAAAUAAAGUGACUAGAAUUUUUGUGUACUAUUCAGUUAAAGGAAACAAAUGUCUUUUCCCCCUCUGUGGUCUUAUGGAUACACAUUUGCACACACACACAUGUAUGUAUAUAGAUGUUGGUAUAUAUACACACAUAUAUUUAUAUAUACAUAGAUAUAUACAUACACAUGCAAGUGGAGACAUAGAUUGUACCACCUGUAUGAAUAUGUAUGUACACAUGGGGACAGAAAGAGUGUGCAAUCUAUUUGAACUAUAUCAAAGUCUUGUGCAGGACUUAGACCAGUUCUCAUUGUGUUAGUGUCAUUCCUUGUCAAAUGUCCCUAAAGUGCCUUUCUUGAUUAUUAAUGCUGAAGAACUCUGUCAUGAUUAGAUGGUUACCCUUUCUAAGCUCUGAAAAACUCUAAUCAUUUGAUCAUGUGCUGUAGCAAAGAAAGUGUUUAGAAUCAGCCAAGGCUCUUGUUCAUUUGAGAGAUUGAGUCUUGCUCACUGGAACAUGGUCAUCGUUUGCGUUGCUCCUGUCAUAGAAUAGGCCUGUAUCAUACAGCAAGGAACAUCUCAGAAAAAAAAAUUUUUUUUCCAAAUAGCAUGUGCUAUGCCAAUGUGAUUACUAAGUACAAUUUUGAGUCCUUUAUCCUAAUUGCUAUUAAAGAAUAAAAAUGUU
rnacentral:sRNA from 1 species